GAUGAACGCUAGCUACAGGCUUAACACAUGCAAGUCGCGGGGGAGCAUGGGGGUUGCUUGCAAUCCCCGAUGGCGACCGGCGCACGGGUGAGUAACGCGUAGCCAACCUGCCCUUCACCACGGGAUAACCCGGCGAAAGUCGGACGAAUAACGUAUGUUGUCCAUUGACGGCAUCCGAGUUGGACGAAAGGGUUGGCGGGGAAGGAUGGGGAUGCGUCCGAUUAGCUGGACGGCGGGGUGAGGGCCCACCGGGGCGACGAUCGGCAGGGGUGCUGAGCGGACCGUCCCCCACAUUGGACCUUGGACACGCUCCCGGCUCCUACGAGAGGCCGCAGUGAGGAAUAUUGGGCAGUGGGCGUGAGCCUGAACCAGCCAAGUAGCGUGCAGGAUGGCGGCCCUGUGGGUUGUAAGCUGCUUUUAUGCGGGGAUAGAGUGGCCCACGUGUGGGUUUUUGCAGGUACCGCAUGAAUAAGGACCGGCUAAUUCCGUG
rnacentral:rRNA from 1 species